rnacentral:RNase_P_RNA from 1 species
CGUGCAAGUCGUCUUGUCGCUGUCUCAUGGUAAUAGUGAGGAGGAGGAAAGUCCGGGCAACAUAGAGCGCCAUACUUCCUAACGGGAAGGGGGCUGACUGGUGACGGUCAGUUUACAGCUAGUGCAACAGAGAAUAUACCGCCCUGAGCUUGUCGAAGGGUAAGGGUGAAAAGGUGGGGUAAGAGCCCACCGCUCUGGCAGUGAUGUCAGGGGCACGGCAAACCUUAUGGGUUGAAAGAUCAAAUAGGUUCCGCGUCGGAUUCAGUUCCGAGAAAAGUUGCUCGCUUUUAUGCGGAAUGGGUAGAUCGAUGGACCCCGAUUGUGAAGUCGGGGCUAGAUAAAUGACAAGAAACUGAUUCUGGAAACAGAUGAGGAAACAGAACCCGGCUUAUAGACUUGCACUUUUU